GAAGUAAAUAAGAAUGAACUUCUAAUUCAUUAACUAUAAUUUUUAUUAUAUUACUUCU
rnacentral:tRNA from 3 species